AUGUGUGUUACAAGAAUGAUUGUUCGGGAAUUGAGUUCAACCAAAUUGUUUCAUUCACAAAAGCAAUGGUGUAUUGCACGACGAGUGUUCAACGUGCACAAGUACCCUGUUUUCUAUUUUGAUAGUUGUGAUGACACUUCUGGUUUGGUGCUUCUUUUUGUGUCUGUAGGAAAACAAAGUUGCACUGAUUUGACAAGGACGGGGGCAGUGGAAGGAGCGGGGCAUGCGUACAGUCAGGCUUCUCAAACGGACAACCAAGGUCCACCUUGUCAUGCGACAUGCCAAGAGCCUCAGGAUCUGCGGCAAGCACCUUGA
rnacentral:rRNA from 1 species